UGGGGAAUAUUGCGCAAUGGGCGAAAGCCUGACGCAGCAACGCCGCGUGAGUGAUGAAGGCCUUCGGGUCGUAAAGCUCUGUCGGAGGGAACGAACGUUCCCGGAGUUAACAGCUCCGGGAAGUGACGGUACCCUCCAAGGAAGCACCGGCUAACUUCGUGCCAGCAGCCGCGGUAAUACGAAGGGUGCAAGCGUUACUCGGAAUUACUGGGCGUAAAGCGUGCGUAGGUGGUUUGUUAAGUCUGAUGUGAAAGCCCUGGGCUCAACCUGGGAAUGGCAUUGGAAACUGGCUGACUAGAGUGCGGUAGAGGGUAGUGGAAUUCCCGGUGUAGCAGUGAAAUGCGUAGAUAUCGGGAGGAACAUCUGUGGCGAAGGCGACUACCUGGACCAGCACUGACACUGAGGCACGAAAGCGUGGGGAGCAAA
rnacentral:rRNA from 1 species